rnacentral:rRNA from 1 species
UAAUACGAAGGGCCCAAGCGUUGCGCAGAAUCACUGGGCUUAAAGGGUGCGCAGGCGGACCCGCAAGUACGACGGUGAAAUCCCACGGCUUAACCGUGGAAUGGCCGGGUAUACUGCGGGUCUUGAGCUCGGCAGGGGCCGUCGGAACUCUAGGUGGAGCGGUGAAAUGCGUAGAUAUCUAGAGGAACGCCAAAGGUGAAGACAGACGGCUGGGCCGAUGCUGACGCUCAGGCACGAAAGCGUGGGGAGCGAACGGGAUUAGAUACCCCGGUAGUCCACGCUGUAAACGAUGUGCACUAGAUCGAGGGGGUUUUGACGCCUUCUCGGUCGUAGCAAAAGCAUUAAGUGCACCGCCUGGGGAGUACGGUCGCAAGGCUA